UCCCACCCUGGUAACGCCCGAUCUCGUCUGAUCUCGGAAGCUAAGCAGGGUCGGGCCUGGUUAGUACUUGGAUGGGAGACCUCCUGGGAAUACCGGGUGUCGUAGGCGU
rnacentral:rRNA from 1 species